rnacentral:rRNA from 1 species
GAUGAACGCUGGCGGCGUGCCUAAUACAUGCAAGUCGAGCGAACAGACGAGGAGCUUGCUCCUCUGACGUUAGCGGCGGACGGGUGAGUAACACGUGGAUAACCUACCUAUAAGACUGGGAUAACUUCGGGAAACCGGAUCUACUACCGGAUAAUAUAUUGAACCGCAUGGUUCAAUAGUGAAAGACGGUUUUGCUGUCACUUAUAGCUGGAUCCGCGCCGCAUUAGCUAGUUGGUUAGGUAACGGCUUACCAAGGCAACGAUGCGUAGCCGACCUGAGAGGGUGAUCGGCUACACGGGAACUGAGACACGGUCGAGACUCCGACGGGAGGCAGCAGUAGGGAAUCUUCCGCAAUGGGCGAAAGCCUGACGGAGCAACGCCGCGGGAGUGAUGAAGGUCUUCGGAUCGUAAAACUCUGUUAGUAGGGAAGAACAAAUGUGUAAGUAACCAUGCACGUCUUGACGGUACCUAAUCAGAAAGCCACGGCUAACUACGUG